AUCUAUGGUCAUGCCACCCUGGACGUGCCUGAUCUCAGAAGCUAAGCAGGGUCAGGCUGGUAGUACUUGGAUG
rnacentral:rRNA from 1 species